AGAUAAUAGAUACCCAGGUAGUCCUGGCCCUAAACGAUGUCCACUAGAUCGCAGUGCCUCUGACGGUAUUGCGGUCGAAGCCAAAGUGCUAAGUGGACCGCCUGGGAAGUACGGUCGCAAGGCUAAAACUCAAAGGAAUUGACGGGGGCUCACACAAGCGGUGGAGCAUGUGGUUCAAUUCGAAGCAACGCGCAGAACCUUACCUGGGUUUGACAUGCUGAGAUUAUCCCCGUGAAAGCGGGGUAGGCCCUUCGGGUACAACCAGCACAGGUGCUGCAUGGCUGUCGUCAGCUCGUGUCGUGAGAUGUCGGGUUAAGUCCCAUAACGAGCGAAACCUUUGCCCUUAGUUACCAUCGGGUUAAGCCGGGGACUCUAAGGGGACUGCCGGUGUCAAACCGGAGGAAGGUGGAGAUGACGUCAAGUCCUCAUGGCCUUUAUGCCCAGGGCUACACACGUGCUACAAUGGCGUGGACAAAGCGAACCUAAAGCGCAAGCUGGUGGAAAUCGCAAAAACUCACGCCCCAGUUCAG
rnacentral:rRNA from 1 species